rnacentral:rRNA from 1 species
GACAGAGGAUGCAAGCGUUAUCCGGAAUGAUUGGGCGUAAAGCGUCUGUAGGUGGCUUUUCAAGUCCGCCGUCAAAUCCCAGGGCUCAACCCUGGACAGGCGGUGGAAACUACCAAGCUGGAGUACGGUAGGGGCAGAGGGAAUUUCCGGUGGAGCGGUGAAAUGCGCGAGAUAUCGGGAGGAACACCUAUGGCGAAGGCAGCUCGCUGGGACGUUACUGACACUGAGGCGCGAAAGCGUGGGGAGCGAACAGG